AAAAAUAAAACAUCUAAGGUGUGGCAGACGAGUAGAAGCAGCAACGAAGCCAAAUCCGAAUCUUAACCUGACAUCACUGGGGAGCAAGGCACCAGUCAAGAAGGGGCCAAAGCCCUAUAACACCUACCAGUGAUACAGAGAUUUAUACAAAUGUUAGAAGUGAAUUAUAAGAUAAAUUCUGAGACAGUGAUGUAUGGGUUGGUUAAGAAAGGAUGGGAAGAAGGGAACAUAUGGGCAUGGGUGAUCUGUGUGGAAAAUGAGGAACUUGCUGAUCAUGAAGGGAAUGGAUUUUACUACAAAGGAAUGUUUAUAUAUAGCCCUGUUUGAGCUCAAAUAUUACAUGCAAAGGGAUGAGGAGGAGAAAGAUGAGAGUAAGAGGGAGGAAAUGUGGAGGAAACAUAAAUGGAAAUAGGUAUUCACUUGAGUGCCUGAGAUAGUGGGGUGACAGAGGGAAGGGUAGGAAAAGGGAUAGUUGUGGGAUGAGAUAAUGUUGUUAUUGUGAACUGUUAAGAGAUGAGGAGGAGUUAAUAUGUUAUGAGGCUUUGUUGGAUAAUAUAACAUUUGGUAUUUGUAAAUAUGUAUAACAGGUUUUGUUUUU